rnacentral:rRNA from 1 species
GGGCCUACGGGACGCAGCAGUCGGGAAUAUUGCGCAAUGGAGGAAACUCUGACGCAGUGACGCCGCGUGCAGGAAGAAGGUUUUCGGAUUGUAAACUGCUUUAGACAGGGAAGAUAAUGACAGUACCUGUAGAAUAAGCUCCGGCUAACUACGUGCCAGCAGCCGCGGUAAUACGUAGGGGGCAAGCGUUAUCCGGAUUUACUGGGUGUAAAGGGAGCGUAGACGGCAGCGCAAGUCUGGAGUGAAAUGCCGGGGCCCAACCCCGGAACUGCUUUGGAAACUGUGCAGCUCGAGUGCAGGAGAGG